AAUUUACUAAGUGAAGAGUUUGAUACUGGCUCAGAUUGAACGCUGGCGGAAUGCUUAACACAUGCAAGUCGUGCGGUAACACUUCGGGUGACGAGCGGCGGACGGGUGCGUAACGCGUAAGAAUCUACCUUUUAGCGGGGGACAACCCG
rnacentral:rRNA from 1 species